rnacentral:rRNA from 1 species
CAGCAGCCGCGGUAAAACAGAGGGUGCGAGCGUUAAUCGGAUUUACUGGGCGUAAAGCGUGCGUAGGCGGCUAAUUGAGUCGGAUGUGAAAUCCCCGAGCUUAACUUGGGAAUUGCAUUCGAUACUGGUUAGCUAGAGUGUGGGAGAGGAUGGUAGAAUUCCAGGUGUAGCGGUGAAAUGCGUAGAGAUCUGGAGGAAUACCGAUGGCGAAGGCAGCCAUCUGGCCUAACACUGACGCUGAGGUACGAAAGCAUGGGGAGCAAACAGGAUUAGAUACCCGAGUAGUCCCUGUCUCUUAUAA